GAUGAACGCUGGCGGCGUGCCUAAUACAUGCAAGUCGAGCGAACAGACGAGGAGCUUGCUCCUCUGACGUUAGCGGCGGACGGGUGAGUAACACGUGGAUAACCUACCUAUAAGACUGGGAUAACUUCGGGAAACCGGAGCUAAUACCGGAUAAUAUAUUGAACCGCAUGGUUCAAUAGUGAAAGACGGUUUUGCUGUCACUUAUAGAUGGAUCCGCGCCGCAUUAGCUAGUAGGUAAGGUAACGGCUUACCAAGGCAACGAUGCGUAGCCGACCUGAGAGGGUGAUCGGCCACACUGGAACUGAGAAACGGUCCAGACUCCUACGGGAGGCAGCAGUAGGGAAUCUUCCGCAAUGGGCGAAAGCCUGACGGAGCAACGCCGCGUGAGUGAUGAAGGUCUUCGGAUCGUAAAACUCUGUUAUUAGGGAAGAACAAAUGUGUAAGUAACUAUGCACGUCUUGACGGUACCUAAUCAGAAAGCCACGGCUAACUACGUG
rnacentral:rRNA from 1 species